CCGAGUUUACCACUCCCAAACCCCUGUGAACAUACCUAUCGUUGCUUCGGCGGGACCGCCCCGGCGCCCCCGGGCCCGGACCCAGGCGCCCGCCGAGGGACCCCAAACUCUUGUUUCUGUGAGGAUCUUCUGAGUUACACAAGCAAAUCAAUUA
rnacentral:misc_RNA from 1 species